rnacentral:tRNA from 1 species
GCCUUGCUAGCUCAAUCGGUAGAGCGUGAGACUCUUAAUCUCAAGGUUGCGGGUUCGACCCCGCGUGAGGCU